GGGUGAGUAAUAUAUCGGAACGUGCCCAGUCGUGGGGGAUAACGCAGCGAAAGCUGUGCUAAUACCGCAUACGAUCUCUGGAUGAAAGCGGGGGACUCGCAAGAGCCUCGCGCGAUUGGAGCGGCCGAUAUCAGAUUAGCUAGUUGGCGGGGUAAAAGCCCACCAAGGCGACGAUCUGUAGCUGGUCUGAGAGGACGACCAGCCACACUGGAACUGAGACACGGUCCAGACUCCUACGGGAGGCAGCAGUGGGGAAUUUUGGACAAUGGGCGAAAGCCUGAUCCAGCAAUGCCGCGUACAGGAUGAAGGCCUUCGGGUUGUAAACUGCUUUUGUACGGAACGAAACGGUCUGCCUUAAUACGGUGGGCUAAUGACGGUACCGUAAGAAUAAGCACCGGCUAACUACGUGCCAGCAGCCGCGGUAAUACGUAGGGUGCGAGCGUUAAUCGGAAUUACUGGGCGUAAAGCGUGCGCAGGCGGUUAUAUAAGACAGAUGUGAAAUCCCCGGGCUCAACCUGGGACCUGCAUUUGUGACUGUAUAGCUAGAGUACGGUAGAGGGGGAUGGAAUUCCGCGUGUAGCAGUGAAAUGCGUAGAUAUGCGGAGGAACACCGAUGGCGAAGGCAAUCCCCUGGACCUGUACUGACGC
rnacentral:rRNA from 1 species